rnacentral:lncRNA from 1 species
UCCAAGUGUAAUCCUCAACAGAUUAUCAUCCCACUAAACAUUUCCACCAUCUAAUAUACUGACAGAAAUAACAUGAGAUUCAAGCUUUUAUUUCUAAAUGAAUCCCACAAAGCAAACACAGGGAAUGAAAGCUUGCAUAGACCAUUUAUAUGACACUUUCAAUUGAAUAAGACACUACAAAUCCCUCUAAACAUAGAAUAAGACCCUAGACAACAAUUUCACAUAGCAAUUAAAGAAAUGAUGAAACUAGGGUGAAAACUAUCGAAACUAUAACAUGAGUGAACUAAACUAGUAAACAUAUAACCUACAGCAACACAUACUUCCGAAACCAGCCAACUUCAUCAAUCAGCUUAGUGAUCACAUUACUCAAUUAUACAUGUACAAACUAGAAUGGCAAUUCCAGUUUUCAAUCAUAUUUAAAUGAAGUCUCACCCUUAGGAUAAACAGAUACUACAAAUGAUCAUACUUAAGUACUUAAGCUAGCAUGGGAUAUAAACCAAAAUACAACAAACAACAUGGAUAACUGAAUAAUGAGGGAUUUACACUUACAAUUUCAUGAUUUAAAUUACAUGCCUCAUACAAAAAACGAAACCCAAACUUCAUUUCAGUUUCAUAUACUUCAAACAUCUCAUACAAAAAUUCAGAUCCAUAACUUCAGCUUAUCAUUCAGUAAGUUCUGAAGAAAUACCUGGAAGAAAGAAAGCAGCAGAAGAAGAGAGUAAGAUUAGCAAGUUUACAACAUCAGUAACAAGGCAGGAAUCAAUAGCAAACGAGACCCCAACUUCAGAAAUGAACCAGGAAUUAAUUUCUAGCCAAUGGAACAGUAAUUCUCCCCCAAAAUUCUCAGCUUUUUCUCAAUGUGUAUUCCUGAAUAUAUAGCUUUUCAACUCUGAGUCUAUGUAUGUUUCUAGUUCCAUAAACUCUAUCUGUGUUACACCCUGAGUGACUCAAAAUUGAUUGAGUAGAUUAGGGUUUGAAAAGACUUCAAAGAGAGAAACCAAUCAAACAGUAAAAUAUGCAGCUGUUUUGUGAUUUUCAACUCUCAAUCUCUCAGUGUUUUCGAAGUGUUCCAGCUCUUCUCACUCUUAAGCUCUAUCUCUCAAUGUAUAUCCUUUCAGAAUAUGUGUUUGUGUGUGUCUAUUUAAAGACUAGAACCAAUCCUUUUUUUAUUCAAACCUUUCACUUUUGAGCCUGUACAUCCCCUUAGCACAUACAUCCUCUACCCUUUUAUAAUUAACCUAUGCUUGUUUUCUGAUUUUCCACUAACAAAAGUACUUAACAGGGUGUCAGCCCCACUAAUGAUCCAUUUUCAAUAGUUUAACCUAUUAAUUUAGUAGUGUUGGCAUACCACUUAUCUUAAACCAUUUAACAAACUCUUAUUCUCAAUUGGCAUACCACUUAUCUUAAACCAUUUAAUAUGCUCUUAUUCUCAAAUUAAAUCCUUUAAACCUGUGCUACUAAAUUUGAACCAAUCCUAUUAAUUAUCCCUUCCCGUUACUAAAAUUCCUUAAGAUGAGCUAUUAAGUAACAACAUAUUAUUCAGGGCCAUUCAACAAACAUACAUGAACCACAUAAAAAUCCUAAUUCAAACAAUUGCAGUGUGCCUACUCCAGAAAAAACUCAAACAACGUAAUAAAUCUAGAUUGUUUGCAAAAUUAAAUAACGAAUAAGUUAACAGUUUCAACAACAAACCUAAUAUUAAUUCUAACCAAUUGUCUGAGAGAAUAGAAAAAUAAAAAAAGAAGGAGAAGAAGAAGAAAAGACCAAAUUACAGAAAUCUAACAAGAAACUUGCCUGACCAAAAUCGAACCCAUCGACUUUAAUUUUCCGAUUUGAUCUCCAAAUAACUUCCCUCGCUCGUUCACUGUCAGGAACAAGCGAGUAUCGUUAUUUUGAUACUUAAUCGACUUUAUCUCUUUAGCCUAUUGCCCGAAAAAAGCAAAGUUUAUCUAGGCUUUCUAGGGUUCAAACCCUAGAUGUGAUAUUCGAGCCUUUAUGGUGAGAUUUGGGGGAAGCUGGUAAGGGAUUUGGGUGAGGUAGUCCGGUGAUUGUAUGGUAUCAAUUUGAGGUCAAUCGGGUAAACUAGGGUUCAACCAGACUUCUUCGAUUUGAGAUUCGAGAAACCUGGUCAAUAUUCGAGGGGAAGUGUUUGGAUAUUUGGAAUGGGGAGGUUGAGGCAAGGCUAGGGUGUUAAUUUGGAAGUCAUCGGCGAAGACGCCACCGGGUUCAGGGCGUUGGAGAGGGGUGGCAGCUGCUAGGGUUUGGGUCGUUUGGUCUCAGAUAUUGGAGACGAAGGGGAUGACGGGGCUUCAAAGGGGCGGGGGUCUAUAUAUAU